rnacentral:rRNA from 1 species
UGGGGAUGACGUCAAAUCAUCAUGCCCCUUAUGUUCUGGGCUACACACGUGCUACAAUGGCCGGUACAGACGGACGCAAAGCCGCGAGGUGGAGCAAAUCCUAAAAAGCCGGUCUCAGUUCGGAUUGCAGGCUGCAAUUCGCCUGCAUGAAGUCGGAAUCGCUAGUAAUCGCAGGUCAGCAUACUGCGGUGAAUACGUUCCCGGGCCUU